AUUGAACGCUGGCGGCAGGCCUAACACAUGCAAGUCGAACGAGUGGCGGACGGGUGAGCAAUGUAUGGGAAACUGCCUGGUGGAGGGGGAUAACUAAUGGAAACGGUAGCUAAUCCCGCAUACCAUACGAUGUGCCCAGAUGGGUUUAGCUUGUGGGUGGGGUAACGGCUCACCAAGACGACGAUCCCUAGCUGGUCUGAGAGGAUGACCAGCCACACUGGAACUGAGACACGGUCCAGACUCCUACGGGAGGCAGCAGUGGGGAAUAUUGCACAAUGGGCGAAAGCCUGAUGCAGCCAUGCCGCGUGUAUGAAGAAGGCCUUCGGGUUGUAAAGUACUUUCAGCGGGGAGGCGUUACCCGCAGAAGAAGCACCGGCUAACUCCGUGCCAGCAGCCGCGGUAAUAC
rnacentral:rRNA from 1 species